CUGGAUGGGCUAAUCUUGAGUUCCUCCAUCAAGUUAUAUUACCUCGACAAGAAAAGGUGCAGGAAAACCAUAUAAAGUACUAUGGUGAGUCUAUCUCAAUUGAACUAGAACUCAAAUUGUAGCAAUUCCAAGCUUUUUUCUACAACUGCAAUUGGGUGGACUAUGGUAUGGGUCGGUUUAUUAGUUUGAAGGGAUUUUAAGUGACAACCUGCUACUUUUUCUACUGGUAGUGAAUUCAAAUUAAGUCUGAUGUCUCUAUCUAAUAUACUGAACCUGGAAGAUUUGUCUGAGGUCUUUAUCUAAUAUAUCAAGAAUUGUCUUUCUGUUCUGAACAUGAGAAAUUUACCUUACUGUUAACUGCAGUUUUGUCUCAUUGCCAAUAUAUCUGCAUAAGGUACAUCUAAGGAGGCCUUCUCCGACAAGGAGGCUGCGGGUCAAGGUCGUCGGCAGCGACGAUGCCGCCAGCCGCAAGCGCCGCCGCGAGGACGACAAAAGUGAGCACUUUACCCCCGCCAGAUCGAUCGCGUCUUCCCCCUUCUUUUCGCGCAAAUUAAACCUGUGCGCAACUCGGAUCUGGAUUUGUGUGAUUUUCAGCUAUGCUUGUUCGUUAGGGAUUUGUGGUUAGGUAAAGGGAGAGCAAGAUAAUGG
rnacentral:lncRNA from 1 species